UCCCUGGUAGUCCAGUGACUAAGACUCUGCACUCCCAGUGCAGGGAACCCAGGUUCAAUUCCUGGUGGGGGAA
rfam:TPA: Bos taurus chromosome 12, whole genome shotgun sequence.